rnacentral:ncRNA from 1 species
CUUGUUCAACAAGCACAUUACCAGUGGGGGCUGGCAGGCUGCCAUACAGGCCUGGGGUGAUAUACCUGUCAAACCGUAAUGCAGGUGUCCUAAGGUGAGCUCAGGAAGGUGAGCUUCCAUGGAGCAGAAGGACAAAUGCUCCCUUGAUCUUGAUUUUCAGUGUGAAUACACAUUGUGAAAACAGGCCCUCAUGAUCCUUCUGAUAUCUGGGUAAGUUUUAAGUAGGAGGUGUCAGAAGAGUUACCACAAGGAUAACUGGCUUGUGGUGGCCAAACAUUCAUAACAAUGUUGCUUUAUGAUCCUUUGAAAUAGUCUCUUCCUAUCAUUGUGAAGUAGAAUUCACCAAGCAUUGGUGAAUUAUUCAUUCAUUAAUAGGGAAGGAGAGUCGGGAUUAGACCAUCAUGGGAUAGGUUA